UACAGAGGUCCCAAGCGUUGUUCGGAUUCAUUGGGCGUAAAGGGUGCGUAGGUGGCGCUGUAAGUCAGGUGUGAAAUCUCGGGGCUCAACCCCGAAACUGCACUUGAUACUGCGGUGCUCGAGUACUGGAGAGGAGAUUGGAAUUUACGGUGUAGCAGUGAAAUGCGUAGAUAUCGUAAGGAAGACCAGUGGCGAAGGCGAAUCUCUGGACAGUUACUGACACUGAGGCACGAAGGCCAGGGGAGCAAACGGGG
rnacentral:rRNA from 1 species